UUGCGUUGCUUUGUUGUCGUACGUGAUACUGACAAUCGAGAGAGUGGCUAUCUGCUAGAAACCAACAAAACAAGAUGGAGGUGGAGCAGCUCUUGUCUCUGUCAGGCUCAGCACUGGCCCAGGCUGUUAGCUCUCUGCUGGAGACCCCAGGACUCUACGUCUUCUCUGACAUCUUGGAGUUGCCUAAUGUUAGAGAGCUGGAGAAUGGCCCUCAUGCACCAGUGUACCAGCUCCUGAACCUCUUUGCCUAUGGAACCUACUGCGACUACAAAGAGAGAGCAGCCUCUCUUCCAGAGUUGACCCCCGCACAGAGAAAUAAACUCCGUCAUCUGUCCAUCAUCAGCUUGGCUUCCAACCUCAAGUGCCUGCCGUACUCACUCCUCCUGCAGCAGCUGGAGCUGAAGAAUGUGCGGGAGCUGGAGGACCUGCUGAUCGAGGCCGUCUAUUGCGACAUCAUCCAGGGUAAACUAGACCAGAGGAACCAGCAGGUGGAGGUGGACUGCAGCGUGGGUCGUGACCUCGGCCCCAACGAGCUCCCAAACAUAAUCAACACUUUGCAAGAGUGGUGCACAGGCUGUGAGGCCGUAUUGUGUGGCAUCGAGGAGCAGGUCUCACGAGCCAAUCAGUACAGAGAGAGCCAGCUGAAGGUCAAAGUCCAAGUGGAAACAGAGGUCAGUCCCUCAUCCUGUCAGCUUUCAGCUCUUCCACCCCACUCUCUCUCUCUCUCUCUCUCUCUCUCCCUCUCCAGAUAAUCCAGUCAUUAUAGGUCUCUGUUUUUUUUUUUGCUUCAAGCUACUGUUGGUAUUUUAGUUUCCUCCUGAAUUUAUAUUUCCUUUUCUGCGUCUUGUUUAAGACUUAACUCAUACAGCAGCAGCAGCAUGCUCACAUCUCCAACUUUAAAUGAUUCACAGUUUUUGUAAGUUGGCCUCAAAGGUUUGGGCCCCAUAACAACUUUGAAAACAGAUUUUUAUUAAUGUUGUCCAAGGUCACACUCGCCUCGCUACAAACAACUACAGCAGCUAAGAAAGUCAAGAAGGGAGUUUUGGGAACUUUAAUGUCGUCAGUCUCUGUAUCAUAGGAUCCUAUUUAAUGCUAAUGUGGAUCCUCACAUUAGCAUUAAACGCUUUUUACAUUUUUGGCCAGUAUGGUUGCAGCAUUACUACAUUACUGUUAGGCAUACGUCGCAUGUCCGUGCAUCCGUUAGGGUCCACAUGUCAUAAGUUAUGUCAUCCACCCUUUUUCGCGGUGGUCCGUGUGGACUGUAUGCGCCAACCGUGCAUGCUUCCUGUAGCGCAACACAAGAUAACGAUGAAAGCAGUAGCCAUGGAAACUUGCCUGACGUUAUGAGGAAGUUCAAUGGUACACCACAGAUGUACAACUCUGCGGUUAAAGAAUACAAGGACGUACAAAAGAAGAUGAACACCUGGAAAGUGGGAUGUGAGAUCGAGUACACGUGCAUGGACACGGACCCUUCUUUUAAAACUGUGGCAUGAAUGCGCAGAUGGAAAUGGGACAUGGCUCUCGACAGAUGCAGGUCGUGGCCCCGCCCCUGCUGGAGCCGCCUCCAAUCAGGAUGCAGACCAGCCUGCUGAGCCUCGAGACCCCGCC